UACGUAGGGUGCGAGCGUUAAUCGGAAUUAUUGGGCGUAAAGCGCGUGUAGGCGGUCUGAUUAGUCUGAUGUGAAAGCCCUGGGCUCAACCCAGGAAGUGCAUUGGAUACUGUCAGACUUGAAUACGGGAGAGGGUAGUGGAAUUCCUAGUGUAGGAGUGAAAUCCGUAGAUAUUAGGAGGAACACCGGUGGCGAAGGCGGCUACCUGGACCGAUAUUGACGCUGAGACGCGAAAGCUAGGGUAGCAAACGGG
rnacentral:rRNA from 1 species